rnacentral:rRNA from 1 species
ACGCUGGCGGCGUGCCUAAUACAUGCAAGUAGAACGCUGAAGAGAGGAGCUUGCUCUUCUUGGAUGAGUUGCGAACGGGUGAGUAACGCGUAGGUAACCUGCCUUGUAGCGGGGGAUAACUAUUGGAAACGAUAGCUAAUACCGCAUAACAAUGGAUGACACAUGUCAUUUAUUUGAAAGGGGCAAUUGCUCCACUACAAGAUGGACCUGCGUUGUAUUAGCUAGUAGGUGAGGUAAUGGCUCACCUAGGCGACGAUACAUAGCCGACCUGAGAGGGUGAUCGGCCACACUGGGACUGAGACACGGCCCAGACUCCUACGGGAGGCAGCAGUAGGGAAUCUUCGGCAAUGGGGGCAACCCUGACCGAGCAACGCCGCGUGAGUGAAGAAGGUUUUCGGAUCGUAAAGCUCUGUUGUAAGUCAAGAACGGGUGUGAGAGUGGAAAGUUCACACUGUGACGGUAGCUUACCAGAAAGGGACGGCUAACUACGUGCCAGCAGCCGCGGUAAUACGUAGGUCCCGAGCGUUGUCCGGAUUUAUUGGGCGUAAAGCGAGCGCAGGCGGUUUGAUAAGUCUGAAGUUAAAGGCUGUGGCUCAACCAUAGUUCGCUUUGGAAACUGUCAAACUUGAGUGCAGAAGGGGAGAGUGGAAUUCCAUGUGUAGCGGUGAAAUGCGUAGAUAUAUGGAGGAACACCGGUGGCGAAAGCGGCUCUCUGGUCUGUAACUGACGCUGAGGCUCGAAAGCGUGGGGAGCGAACAGGAUUAGAUACCCUGGUAGUCCACGCCGUAAACGAUGAGUGCUAGGUGUUGGAUCCUUUCCGGGAUUCAGUGCCGCAGCUAACGCAUUGAGCACUCCGCCUGGGGAGUACGACCGCAAGGUUGAAACUCAAAGGAAUUGACGGGGGCCCCCACAAGCGGUGGAGCAUGUGGUUUAAUUCGAAGCAACGCGAAGAACCUUACCAGGUCUUGACAUCCCGAUGCUAUUUCUAGAGAUAGAAAGUUACUUCGGUACAUCGGUGACAGGUGGUGCAUGGUUGUCGUCAGCUCGUGUCGUGAGAUGUUGGGUUAAGUCCCGCAACGAGCGCAACCCCUAUUGUUAGUUGCCAUCAUUCAGUUGGGCACUCUAGCGAGACUGCCGGUAAUAAACCGGAGGAAGGUGGGGAUGACGUCAAAUCAUCAUGCCCCUUAUGACCUGGGCUACACACGUGCUACAAUGGUUGGUACAACGAGUUGCGAGUCGGUGACGGCGAGCUAAUCUCUUAAAGCCAAUCUCAGUUCGGAUUGUAGGCUGCAACUCGCCUACAUGAAGUCGGAAUCGCUAGUAAUCGCGGAUCAGCACGCCGCGGUGAAUACGUUCCCGGGCCUUGUACACACCGCCCGUCACACCACGAGAGUUUGUAACACCCGAAGUCGGUGAGGUAACCUUUUGGAGCCAGCCGCCUAAGGUGGGACAGAUGAUUGGGG